rnacentral:rRNA from 1 species
AGAGUUUGAUCCGGGCUCAGAACGAACGCUGGCGGCGUGCCUAACACAUGCAAGUCGAACGGAGAUAAGGGGCUUGCUCCUUAUUUUAGUGGCGCACGGGUGAGUAACGCGUGGAUAAUCUACCUUGGAAUCUGGGAUAACAUUUCGAAAGGGGUGCUAAUACCGGAUAAGACCACGAGCUCUUUGGAGUUUGCGGUAAAAGGGGGCCUCUGUAUAUGCUUCUGUUUCAAGAUGAGUCCGCGUACCAUUAGCUAGUUGGCAGGGUAAUGGCCUACCAAGGCGACGAUGGUUAGCUGGUCUGAGAGGAUGAUCAGCCACACUGGAACUGAGACACGGUCCAGACUCCUACGGGAGGCAGCAGUGGGGAAUUUUGCGCAAUGGGGGAAACCCUGACGCAGCAACGCCGCGUGAGUGAUGAAGGCCUUCGGGUCGUAAAGCUCUGUCAGAGGGAA